UGCGGUAUUUUAACUGUACUAAGGUAGCAUAAUAAUUUCCCUUAUAAUUUGAGGCUAGAAAGAAUGGUUUGAGGAAAGUUAAUCUGUCUCUAUCUUAUUUUUUAAAAUUUAAUCUUCGGAGAGAAAAAGCUUAAAUUUUUUAAAGGGACGAGACCACCCUAUUGAGCUUAUAAUUUGAGGGUUGCUUCAAACUACCUAUUUGGGGAGCAAUUUAAAAAUUUGCAUUGGGGUGAUUAAGGAAUAAAUAAGAAAAUCCAUAUAGUAACUUCCUAUAGAUUGAUAUAUUGUUUAAUAAAGUCCCAAUGUUAUUAUUGCUUUUCUAAUAGUUACCAUAGGGAUAACAGCCAAGUCUGUUUAGAGAGUUCUUAUUGAACAAUGGGAUUGCUACCUCGAUGUUGGAGGAAGCACCUCAGGGUGCAGAAGCUU
rnacentral:rRNA from 1 species